rnacentral:lncRNA from 1 species
CGGGUUUGAAGUCGCUCCAGCUCUGCUAGCUGUGGUUCCAUUAGCGGCGCCUCCUGUAUUUUCAGUUGGAAGUUGGAGGAGUUUAUCAUCUUGUGUGUGCUUGCUUCACAAGAUUAAUGAAAAAAAAAAAACAGGUCCUGGCCGUUCAUGUUUCACAAAACCAACGAUAAAUGACUCAUUAAUGCAUUUGAAUCGGGACUAAUUCGAUGAAUAUUUAUUAUUCGUCAAUUGGUGGAUUUCAUUUGAAUAGUUAGGGGUGUUCAUAAAGAU